UAUGUCUGUUCUCUCAGGCUGAAGAGUCACCCUGUACUGUGCAGCAGGUCACAGAAGUCGAGAGAGAAGAUUGUAAAUUGCACUUUGAACCUGGCCUCGAAGUGCUCAUCCAGGCAGCUGGGCCAGGCUGAAGUGAACACGAAUUCUACACAGGCGAAUAAUGAUAAAAAAUGUCGUUUGCAAGUCUUCUCUGUCAAUAACAAAGCUCAUCUUUUUGUGCCAGCAAGACAUUGCAGGCAGCCCAUGUUUCAAAUUCAGUUAAUCUCAAAAUAAUUCAAAAAUCAAAGAGCUUAUUCAACCAUCAAGAUAUACCAGAUUGACUCACUGUGUAUUCAUAGAAGAGAUUGUAUUUGGGGGAGGCAAAGGGAAGAAUCCAAUAUCAGAAUCAGUCGAAGAAGCACUAGUUUUUGUUCAGUAUAAAUUGUUUUCAGACCACACAACUGCACUGUGAAUAGUAAGAAAUAUUGCCAAGGAAUAGUUGAUGAUGGCAUCAUUUGCAUUUUCAACUGG
rnacentral:lncRNA from 1 species